UGGAGAACGAUGAAGAACGAACUAGUUGCUGCAAAAGUACAAUGUUGAGGAAGAUCCAACAGAUCCGGCUCCUCCUCCGCUCUCCUCUUCUCUCUCCCUAUUUUCUAGAUUACAACUAGAGCUAACUAGAACUAGAACUAGAGGAACUAGAACUAGAACUAGAUGAACUAGAACUAGAUCUAGAUGAACUAGAGGUAGAACUAGAAGAACUAGAGGGAUCCUAUCUACUUGGAUGAAGAAUUGAAACCCUAACUUUGAUUCUGUAGAAGAGGUAUGAUCUCCAGGGGCCAGGGGGCCUUGCUUAUAUAGUCUUUUCAGAUGAAUCUGGGCCGUCGGAUCAAACCGACAUUAAUCGCACGGUUUUCCUUGGUCCCUUAGGUCGGUGGAGCACGAUCCGCGAAGUUGAAGCUGAUUGGUUACUGUAGCUGGGCGGGCACCCAAGGGGGGAGGGCGGGCGCCCUGCCCCCGGGCCCCAUCGGCCUCCCGUUCAUUCCCGUGGCUUCUGGAGUCUUCUAUAUGGUAGAAAAUUGCGCGGCACGUUAAUAUCUCUAUGUAAACUCGACGUGUGGGCCUUUCUUUCAUAUUUCCUGAUAACCCCCUGUAGAAAUAGACAAACACCAAAACUCGUGGAAUUCUGUCAGAUAAAACCCUAAGUCUAGGUGUUGGCUGCAUAUAAGUCCUUUUCCAUGAUUAGUUGACGGUUAAAUGUGAGCAUUAAGGACCGUCAACAAGCUCCCCCAAGCUUAACCUUUGCUCGUCCCUAAGCAAAGAUGGACUCAAGAGUUUCUGCAGUGGUUUUAUACCUUAAAGAUACACAUGCGUUCAAACAAGAUCUCAUCUCUGGGUUAGGGUAAACUGUUAAGAUUUAAACUUACUCAUAUUACCUUCCACCAUGGGGCUUGCAACCGUCACCUGUGUCUUGAGCAGUUAAAAGAUAGAACGGUCUAGUCAAGCGCCAUGUCUCUUGUUCUUUGAUUAACUACAGCUCUGGAGUUUUUGCAGAUUUUUAAAUAAAACUUAGAGAUUCCUUGUAUGACUCUCUCAGAUCUCCCUUUUGUGGUAUUUCUGGAUCCUUACCAAGGCAGUAAUGGUGUAUGCCUUCUCUCAAAGUAUGUGGUAUUUUUGGUAUGAGGCAUAGUGACAUUGCCUUCUCUCUCACCCUACUCUAAUAAGGUUUUGAUAUCUGGAGCUCAUAGGUGGGAGACAGCUAAUACAUACUUACAAAACAUUUAUUGCAUAGUCAAACCAUGGAUCCAGAAGAACAAGUCAAUAAGUCAAAUCAAGACGUGCAUGUGUGGUGAAUGAAUGGUGUAUGGUGAUGAUGGUGAUAACAAUGGUGAAAGUCUAAUUCUACUUGUGCUCUUUUGAGGAGAUACAUACCUUCCUUGCUCUUUUGAAACUUUUUGAGGGGAAUGAGAUGCUCUAUAUUUUCUCUCUUUUUUGUUCUCUCAGGUGGGUAUCUUGUACCCCUAAUUCUACUGUCGGACACUUGUCCAUUUUUACCUCUCGUCUCAGUUUUUCUUUUCUUCGAGGUUCCGGGCACUUGCCCCUUUUUAUUUCCUCGUAUUUUUUUCUCUUUUUUUUUCUUUUUUUAGAGCACCCAACUCAUGAGAUAAUAUAGCAAGUGGUAGUAACAAGAUAACUUGAGCAUUUAUUUCACAGGGGAAAAAUAGAAAUAUUUUUGGCUAUUCUCUCCCGGAUUAGGAGUAGAAUAUUUUUGGGUGGUUCUGGAGAUGGAAAUGGGUGGAUAUAUGUGGAUGCGUACUUCCGGAGUAGAAGCAGCAUGUGUGAGUGAACGUGCAAGUGAAUCUUGAUUUAACCACAUGACAAGCUCCUAAGGGUCUACACAGCUUGACCACACUCAAUGCUCAUAAGCAGUAAAAAGUAAAUGUGUGUCUCAAAGUCUAGCAAGCAUGUAUAUAUGGCUGUGGUAGGAAUUUAAACUCUCAUCAUACCGGAACUCAUCAUGCAACAUUUUAAAGAUUUUCAAAGAUAAAGUUCUCCAGAAUUCUAGCAUCUCUAGGAACAGAUAAAUAGCAGCUCAACCUUCCCAUAUCAUAUCCGUUAACAACUUAGACUUCAAAUCAAGUACUCUCCCCACAAGUUCAGGUUUAGAGCAAAUCUUAAUUCAUAACAGUUAUGCCUAAACUUGAGAGAGAUUUCAAUUUUAGGAACUAGUCAUGGUAGAGCAACUAUUCAUCAUUUCCAUGUGAGAGCUUAUCAUGAGGGUUCAUAGCAAACUUUAUUUAUUUAUUUAGCAAGCUAAGCAAAGAUAUAUAUAUAUAUAUAUAUAAGCACAAAAUCUUUAUUUGGGUUUUUAUGAUUAUGCAUCUUUUUAUUAUUUGAGUAAAAUAUAAACACGAGUAGAACACUUAGCUGGAUAAAUGGGGGUGCUCUCCCCCAAGCUGGAUUUUGACGUAAUUUCUUCUGAUGUAGCUAGUAGGUGGUGGAGGUGUAUUUGAAUGUCAGCAGCACCCUGACAGUGAUUAGGAUGUCAUCCGUCUGCUUGUCUUCUUUGAUCCUUGAAUUCUCUUGGCAAGGCGUGCGGUGUUUUUAAGUCCUCCGAACGGGACUCUCCGUUUUCUCAAUCAUCCUGGAAUUCGCUGGAUGGCGUAGUCGGUUGUUCCGGCGGCGCGUACUUCUUCUUGUAUGACUAUCUUCUUUUUCCUCACCUGCCUCGGUGCACUUCUCCUUCAUACUCUGCCCAUCCGUCCUUCAUGAUUUUCCUCCUCUGGUUGCGGUUGCGUCAUCUUCUUCUUGUCCUGACCUACUUAGAGUCUUCAACUAUAUAGUUAGGGUCAGUAAAAUAUCAGUGUACCUUCUCAGAGGGGAAAUGCAUGUGGACUCCGCCGGUUCUAAUGUAGAUGAUUGCUUUAACGGUGCUGAGGAACAGUCUCCCAAUGGUGAUGGGUAUAUUGUACUCGUCUUCUCCCAUGUCAAUAACCUUAAAAUCAUCUGGAGCUGAAUGUAUGUCGGUUUUAGGGGCAUGGUUCUGAACAGGAGUUGAUAGGUGACUGCGGCCAUUAUGUUGACGCCUGAUCCGGUGUCGCAAAGCGUAUUCUGCAAAGAAUAUCCAUUGAUUGUGCACUAGAUGCUUGGCAUACUUGGGUCGUCCUUUUUGGUCAGGAAUGGUGACUUAAGUCGACGAUCUUGACCUCCUUGAACUGCAGUGACCAUCUUAGCUGACUUGGUCCACAUUUGCUUGUUCCUGUUCCUCCUAUUGGUCCUCUUCCUUGGUUCAUGUCGGGAUUGCUCUGAGAUUUGUGUAGUCUUGUUCUUUAAGGAAAAUGUCUCCUUCCUCCCCUUGAUGUAAAAACUGAUCUUGGCAGCACUAGCGUAGAUGACAGCUCCUGAGGUGUUCAGGAAUGGCCUCCCUAGGAUGAUGGGUGCCCUCUCAUUAGUACCAGUCUCUAUCACCACGAAGUCUGCUGGGGCAAACAAGGUACCAACUCGGACUCAGAGGUUCUUCAAUAUUCCCUUUGGGAAACAUAGCGUACGAUCUGCAAGCAUGCCGAUGGAGAUCAGGAUGACGGUGCGUCCUGGACCGCCUCUCUUGACCAGCAGAAGGUCAGUAGUUACGUCCUUAAGCAUCUCAGGGCAGUGAUUGCCUGAGUGUCCAGUAUCUCCAGUGUGUUUGUGCUCGUAGAUCUAGGUUCUUCACUUGGUGGAGUCUAGGAGUUGUAAAAGUCCUUCAUAUUUUGCUCGAAGUGUACCUGCUCAUAGAGACAAGGCAGAGAUCAAGUGCAUGGGCCCUGUUGGUGGAACACACCAACAGAACCAAAAGUGUAUUUGUUCUUCUCUAACCUUAAGCAUAGUGAGCAAGACAAAGUUGAUGGAUAAUAAGAUCAUGAGUGUAGCAUUUAAAAUAUUUGUCAGAUCAAAUCGCUCAACCUAAUGGAAAGAUAAUCUAUCUAUAUUUAUGUUGUCUUUUUAUAUAUAUAUAUAUAUCUUCUAAAGAUUCAGUGUGCGACAUUUUAGCUGAUAUUAGUAGUAUGGGUUCACAAAGGUGGAAGGACUAAACAUGUUGAAUCGAUUGGGUUGGUUAAUCUAUAGUUGUAAAUCAUACAUGUUUGUCUCUUUUAUCCAUGUGAAUGCCAGAACCAAGGAGAAACUUAUAAAAGUGAUAGUCAAGUACCUUAAGAUGUUACCUUACUUGAAGAGUGAUGGUACAGUAUCACUUUGUGGAAGCUUUUCUUUCUCAGCAGUUGUGCAUCAUGUUUGUGGCACCCUCCAUGGAUCAUCUCUUGUGAGCUAUGCCUUCCUUGUGUAAAUUGUUAAACUUCAUGUGUCUCUGUCUUUGUCUCCAAUGCGAGUUUAUCUCAGGACUUCCUAGGUCGAUAUUGAAAGUUUUCCUAUAGGGGUUAGUCCAACAAAAUAUCCAAUAUCUACUAUAGCAUACUAUCAGCUCAAAGAUCAACCUAGACACCAUGUCUAAUUUGAUUUAGGAGGGCAUUUUAACUUAAGCAUCAUGCUUAAUUUAAACUCCCUUGGAAGUAAGAUCAUCAGCCCUAAACUAAGCACCAUGCUUAAUUAAGAGAUAAAUGAAACUACUCCAAACCUAGACAUAUACUAAAGCAAAUAAAGGUAGCAUGAGAGCAUUUAUAGAGAUCUACUCAAGUGGAGAUGAAGUAGUGUGAUUAGUAUUUAACAAAUUGAGCAUGUCUCAAAGGUAGGAACAAUCAACAUAGCAACAUGGCAAAGGAUGUUUUUAUGUAAAGUACUCCCCCAAGCUUGAAUUUUGCAAAAUUCAAGUUUGGAUGAAUUUAAUUCAAUUUUGUACGAUGAUUGGUUGGACAUACCUUGUGCUUGUCAUUCAUCUGAUCUUCUUGCUCCAAUCCUGGAAAGGUUAGUGACAAGAAUACUCGAAGGAAUAUUUUUACAAUUAUCCUUAUAUGCUCAACACACAAGGUAAUGUUGCAAAUAAUUAAAAGCUCAUGUUAUGAUCUAAUCAGUGCUUGUUUUAGGACACUAAGCUUGUCCUUGGGAAACCAUCAAUUUAUGUCAGUGAAGUGGUUUCCCCUCCAACGCUGAUCUAUAUCAAGAUCAACUCAACGGGAUCUGCAAAAUUUAUUAUAGACAUAUGCAUCGACAACCGCCCUUUUAAAGUUUUUAUAAAUAGAAAGGAAGUGGGGGUUGGAGAUCUCGAAUGUGGUGAUGUUGGAGAGACCAAUGGAUUGUGAAGAUGUUGCAUAUGAGCAUGGAGUAAAUGAAGUGGCUAUGAAAUAAAUUCCAUGCUCAUUAAUGCUUAGAGUGAAAUCCAUGUGGUAUGGUGAAAGUGAUAAGGUGAGUGUGGUAAAAAAGGAAAAGAAAAAGGAUACAAGGACGACUUGGUUCGAAACUAGCACAGCUACCGUUCCCCGGCAACGGCGCCAGAAAGCUUGUUGGGUAUUUUAAACGCAAACAGAAAAAUCCGCAAGCGCACGGAUACCGUUCCCCGGCAACGGCGCCAGAAAGCUUGUUGGGUAUUUUAAACGCAAACAGAAAAAUCCGCAAGCGCACGGAUAUCGAUGUAGUCUUCACCCGGGAGUAUUCCAGAGUAUCGAUUUUCCACAGAGAACGUGAGUGUACUAAUUAAGAUCCAAGAUCGCCCAAGGAUAACUAUAUAAUUAUUUUUGGUGGGAAGAGAGGAAGUUUCCUGAGAGUUCUCUAGUUGAUCUAAGAAUCAAGAAUUACUUCAAAGAUUAUUUAUAUCGGGACAUCAGAGCACUAACCACAGAAAGAGAUGAGAAGGGGGCUAGGAAGGUCUGACUACGGUCCUACAAACACCGAUCCGAACGAGGUGGAAUAUGUCGACCGUUAGGGCUAUCACUACCCUAAGGCUACCACAACAAUCUGCAGGAUUGGGUACAAUUCUAGGUAAUUGCAAGACUAAACACCACGUCUAAUCUAUUAAUUACUACUCUAGCGUUAUAAAGACUAGAGCACUUGAUGCAAGCGGGAAUCCAAUAAAUAACUUGAAUGUAAAUAAAAGUAAUUAAAGAACUCAGGAAUUAUGAAUUAAAGAACCUGGAGAACGAUGAAGAACGAACCAGUUGCUGCAAAAGUACAAUGUUGAGGAAGAUCCAACAGAUCCGGCUCCUCCUCCACUCUCCUCUUCUCUCUCCCUAUUUUCUAGAUUACAACUAGAGCUAACUAGAACUAGAACUAGAGGAACUAGAACUAGAACUAGAUGAACUAGAACUAGAUCUAGAUGAACUAGAGGUAGAACUAGAAGAACUAGAGGGAUCCUCUCUACUUGGAUGAAGAAUUGAAACCCUAACUUUGAUUCUGUAGAAGAGGUAUGAUCUCCAGGGGCCAGGGGGCCUUGCUUAUAUAGUCUUUUCAGAUGAAUCUGGACCGUCGGAUCAAACCGACAUUAAUUGCACGGUUUUCCUUGGUCCCUUAGGUCGGUGGAGCACGAUCCGCAAAGUUGAAGCUGAUUGGUUACUGUAGCUGGGCGAGCACCCAAGGGGGGAGGGCGGGCGCCCUGCCCCCGGGCCCGAUCGGCCUCCCGUUCGUUCCCGUGCCUUCUGGAGUCUUCUAGAUGGUAGAAAAUUGCGCGGCAUGUUAAUAUCUCUAUGUAAACUCGACGUGUGGGCCUUUCUUUCAUAUUUCCUGAUAACCCCCUGUAGAAAUAGACAAACAUCAAAACUCGUGGAAUUCUAUCAGAUAAAACCCUAAGUCUAGGUGUUGGCUGCAUAUAAGUCCUUUUCCAUGAUUAGUUGACGGUUAAAUAUGAGCAUUAAGGACCGUCAACAAGCUCCCCCAAGCUUAACCUUUGCUCGUCCCUGAGCAAAGAUGGACUCAAGAGUUUCUGCAGUGGUUUUAUACCUUAAAGAUACACAUGCGUUCAAACAAGAUCUCAUCUCUGGGUUAGGGUAAACUGUUAAGAUUUAAACUUACUCAUAUUACCUUCCACCAUGGGGCUUGCAACCGUCACCUGUGUCUUGAGCAGUUAAAAGAUAGAACAGUCUAGUCAAGCGCCUUGUCUCUUGUUCUUUGAUUAACUACAGCUCUGGAGUUUUUGCAGAUUUUUAAAUAAAACUUAGAGAUUCCUUGUAUGACUCUCUCAGAUCUCCCUUUUGUGGUAUUUCUGGAUCCUUACCAAGGCAGUAAUGGUGUAUGCCUUCUCUCAAAGUAUGUGGUAUUUUUGGUAUGAGGCAUAGUGACAUUGCCUUCUCUCUCACCCUACUCUAAUAAGGUUUUGAUAUCUGGAGCUCAUAGGUGGGAGACAGCUAAUACAUACUUACAAAACAUUUAUUGCAUAGUCAAACCAUGGAUCCAGAAGAACAAGUCAAUAAGUCAAAUCAAGACGUGCAUGUGUGGCGAAUGAAUGGUGUAUGGUGAUGAUGGUGAUAACAAUGGUGAAAGUCUAAUUCUACUUUUGCUCUUUUGAGGAGAUACAUACCUUCCUUGCUCUUUUGAAACUUUUUGAGGGGAAUGAGAUGCUCUAUAUUUUCUCUCUUUUUUGUUCUCUUAGGUGGGUAUCUUGUACCCCUAAUUCUACUAUCGGACACUUGUCCAUUUUUACCUCUCGUCUCACUUUUUCUUUUCUUCGAGGUUCCGGGCAAUUGCCCCUUUUUAUUUCCUCGUAUUUUUUUCUCUUUUUUUUCUUUUUUUUAGAGCACUCAUCUCAUGAGAUAAGUUAGCAAGUGGUAGUAACAAGAUAACUUGAGCAUUUAUUUCACAGGGGAAAAAUAGAAAUAUUUUUGGCCAUUCUCUCCCGGAUUAGGAGUAGAAUAUUUUUGGGUGAUUCUGGAGAUGGAAAUGGGUGGAUAUAUGUGGAUGCGUACUUCCGGAGUAGAAGCAGCAUGUGUGAGUGAACGUGCAAGUGAAUCUUGAUUUAACCACAUGACAAGCUCCUAAGGGUCUACACAGCUUGACCACACUCAAUGCUCAUAAGCAGUAAAAAGUAAAUGUGUGGCUCAAAGUCUAGCAAGCAUGUAUAUAUGGCUGUGGUAGGAAUUUAAACUCUCAUCAUACAGGAACUCAUCAUCCAACAUUUUAAAGAUUUUCAAAGAUAAAGUUCUCCAGAAUUCUAUCAUCUCUAGGAACAGAUAAAUAGCAGCUCAACCUUCCCAUAUCAUAUCCGUUAAUGACUUAGACUUCAGAUCAAGUACUCUCCCCACAAGUUCAGGUUUAGAGCAAAUCUUAAUUCAUAACAGUUAUGCCUAAACUUGAGAGAGAUUUCAAUUUUAGGAACUGUUGACGGUCCUUAAGUAUCAAAUUUAACUAUCAAAUAAACAAAGAAAAGGAUCCAAAUGGAAUCAACAUCGAGACUUAGGGUUUUAUCUCACAGAAUUCCACGAGUUUUGGUGUUUGUCUAUUUCUGCAGGGGGUUAUCAGGAAAUAAGGAAGAAAGGCCCACACGUCGGGAUUACAUAGAGAUAUCAAAGUGCCGCGCAAUUAUCUUACAUCUAGAAGACUCCAGAAGCCACGGGAAGGAAGCGGAGACCGAAUGGAGUCAGGGACAGGGCGCCCGCCCAAGUCCUUAGGGCGCCCGCCCACCUUUUUCAGCCAAUCACGCUCAAUCUCGCGGAUUAUGCUCCACCGACCUAAAGGAUCAAGAAUAACCGUUCAAUCAAUGUCGGUUUGAUCCGAUGGCCCAGGUUCACUUGAGGGGACUAUAAAACCAGACCCCCUAGCCCCUGGAGGAGGCAACCCUUGAUCAUUAUUCAUUAUUCAUAGACAGAGCAAAAGCUAGGGUUUAGAGAUGAGAGCUCUCCUCUCUUCUCUAAACUAGAGUAGAUCUAGAUAGUAGCGAGAUGGAGAGCGAAGGAGGAUUAGAGGAGAGGCCGGCCUGUCGGUUCUUCCUUCGGUUGUACUUCGCCAUGAUCAAGCUCUAAUCAAGCUUGCUCAUGGGAUGACUCUGGUAAUCUACUUCUAAUUCAUUAUGCAAUUACUAAUCAUGUAUGUUCUGGUUCACAACUCUUUUGAGUACUUCUAAUCUAUAGGACCCUAUAGGUUAGAGUUGUAGUAUAGGUGUAAGCGUGGUGCUUAGACCUAGAUUACUUGUGGAUAUCCCCUGACUAGCUGGAUCGUGUGGUAGGCCGCGUAGGUGACAGUUACGUUGGUCCCCUGUAGUCCACCUCUCGUUAGCAGGACGAGUAGGGUUUAUCGGCCUAUGGAUAAGCAUCCUUUGUGGUGUACUCUUAUCACGUGGUUCGUCCCAGACAUAGACAUACCCCUUUGAAGUAGAGAAACCAUAGUUAUCCUCUCUAUUCUACUACCAUAGCCCAUAUACUAGAAUUGCUCUACUCUCUAUUCCCAUAUUAUCACUCACUGUUAUCUUACCUUUAAUAUUGUUCUUAUUCGAUUCUACCAUCUUUCCUAUUCACACCUAUUUACUUAUCUUAGUUAAGUUAGAGC
rnacentral:lncRNA from 1 species